rnacentral:rRNA from 1 species
UACGUAGGGUGCGAGCGUUGUCCGGAAUUAUUGGGCGUAAAGGGCUCGUAGGCGGUUUGUCGCGUCGGGAGUGAAAUCCACUGGCUUAACUGGUGGCUUGCUUUCGAUACGGGCAGACUGGAGGUAUGCAGGGGAGAACGGAAUUCCGGGUGUAGCGGUGGAAUGCGUAGAGAUCCGGAAGAACACCGGUGGCGAAGGCGGUUAGCUGGGGCAGUUGCUGACACUGAGGCGCGACAGCGUGGGGAGCAAACAGG